GACGAACGCUGGCGGCGUGCUUAACACAUGCAAGUCGAACGGAAAGGCCCUGCUUUUGUGGGGUGCUCGAGUGGCGAACGGGUGAGUAACACGUGAGUAACCUGCCCUUGACUUUGGGAUAACUUCAGGAAACUGGGGCUAUUACCGGAUAGGAGCUCCUGCUGCAUGGGGGGGGUUGGAAAGUUUCGGCGGUUGGGGAUGGACUCGCGGCUUAUCAGCUUGUUGGUGGGGUAGUGGCUUACCAAGGCUUUGACGGGUAGCCGGCCUGAGAGGGUGACCGGCCACAUUGGGACUGAGAUACGGCCCAGACUCCUACGGGAGGCAGCAGUGGGGAAUAUUGCACAAUGGGCGGAAGCCUGAUGCAGCAACGCCGCGUGCGGGAUGACGGCCUUCGGGUUGUAAACCGCUUUCGCCUGUGACGAAGCGUGAGUGACGGUAAUGGGUAAAGAAGCACCGGCUAACUACGUG
rnacentral:rRNA from 1 species